GGUCUUAUAUUCAAUAAACAUGAUAUUAGAUUGCAAAUCUAAAGGAGUAAAAAAAUAUUACUAAGACUU
rnacentral:tRNA from 1 species